rnacentral:rRNA from 1 species
AGAGUUUGAUCCWGGCUCAGAUUGAACGCUGGCGGCAUGCUUUACACAUGCAAGUCGAACGGUAACAGGCCUUCGGGCGCUGACGAGUGGCGAACGGGUGAGUAAUGCAUCGGAACGUGCCCAGUCGUGGGGGAUAACUAUCCGAAAGGAUAGCUAAUACCGCAUACGAUCUGCGGAUGAAAGCGGGGGMCMUUYGGGCCUCGCGCGAUUGGAGCGGCCGAUGUCAGAUUAKGUAGUUGGUGGGGUAAAGGCUCAYCAAGCCAACGAUCUGUAGSUGGUYUGAGAGGRCGACCAGCCACACYGGGAMUGAGACACGGCCCAGACUCCUACGGGAGGCAGCAGUGGGGAAUUUUGGACAAUGGGYSCAAGCCUGAUCCAGCAAUGCCKCGKGCAGGAAGAAGGCYUUCGGGUUGUAAAGCUCUUUCGGCAGGAACGAAAUGGUUCGUGCUAAUACCACWGAUUGAUGACGGUACCUGAAGAAGAAGCACCGGCUAACUACGURCCMGCASCCSCGGUAAUACAWSGSCGA